rnacentral:lncRNA from 10 species
CGUCUGCGCAUGCGCACUCCCACGCGGACGAUGCCUCCCAGGUGUCUCCGCGGCGCGUUCCUGCUGUCCACCGGCUACGCGCGCCUUCUCCACAUCCGGGCGUUUCCGGCCUUGGACUACAUUUCCCACAGGCGCCCGGGCGGUUUUCGAACUUUGAUCUCUGGUUCCCCUUCCAAAUUCUCAUAGUGCGUGGCUGGGAUGAGGGCGGCGCUCACGGUGAGGAAGCCCCGAGCUCCCGGGACGCAGACAGGGUGUGCAGGGCCGUAGCUCGGGCCUGUGUAUGCACCUGUGCGUGUGUGUUUGAUGCCAGGACAAGGCGGCGGUGUGCGCGGCGAGGAGGCUGCGACAGCUGUAUAGACCCCAGCUGCAGUGAAAUGGCCAUCAAAAAGGGAAGGGAUAAUCGAGUGGUGGAAUAAAAUCUGCAAACAGAAAAAGGACAGACCUGUUUUCGGAACGAGGCUUUUCGAGUUACCACCAUGACUGAAGGCUAAGAGCAACUUGCUUGCGCAUUAAAGAUCACUUGGAGAGAGAGGUCCAGUGAGCAACAACGGCCAGAAAUUUCAGGGAGACCAUCUUGAACCAUCCAGCCUCCACCAGGCCAACAGCUGACAGCUGUCACAUGAAUAUGAUCAGCAGAAGAACCACUCAGGCAAGCCAAGCCCAAAUUGCCAAGCCCCCCAAAUAAUAAGCUAAUUGUUUUUUGUUUUAAGCCAUAAACUUUUGAGGUGGUUAUAUAGCAAUAAAUAACUGAAACAGGUGUUUAACUUUCUAGACUUUUUAAAUGACCAUAUUGAUAUAAUUGUAUUGUUCAACCUGUUUUGUAAAGUGAUUUCUCUGAUACAGUAUCUUGAAAAUAUUCCUUAACUAUUUUCUACAACUUUGCAUUUGUCUAUCUUAGUAUUAUAUUACAUGGAUAUGUGGUAACUUAUUUAACUACUAACUUCCCUUUGCAAUUCCUUUUCCUUGCUGUCUAGCUCCCAUGUCUUGACCAACUUUGCAUUCCCCUCCAGGACCUUAUGGGCACAUGGGUUCCUAUCAUUUCACGGGUAUGUAGACUCAGGAAUGUGGCAUUGACUUCUGGGUGGAGUACAGAUGACUGACACCCCCACCCCGAUUCGGAGGAAUUAUUCAGGGGUGUGAUAUAACACCUACAUACAUUUAUUUAACUAGCCAAUUUGGUCUCCCCUUUUUUUGUUUUGAGACCGAGUCUUGCUCUGUCGCCCAGGCUGGAGUGCAGUGGCGUGAUCUCGACUUACUGCAACCUCCGCCUCCCAGGUUCAAGGGAUUCUCCUGCCUCAGCCUUCCGAGUAGCUGAGACUACAGGUGCCCACCACCAUGUCCGGAUAAUUUUUGUAUUUUUAGUAGACAUGGGGUUUCGCCAAGUUGGCCAGGCUGGUCUCAAACUCCUGACCUCACGUGAUCUGCCUGCCUCAGUCUCCCAAAGUGUUGGGAUUACAGGCAUGAGCCACCUCGGCCAGCCGGGUCUCCCUUUUUACAUCUGUUUUCCCCUUUCCAGUUCAAAUUCUGUAUUCUGGGAACAUCUUACUUUCUUCACCCUGAUUGAUUAGGGAAACUUCAGGGUUCUUAGGUAACUUUCUGAAGGACUGGUUUAAGAUUCCUAGAGUUGGAAAUGGGCGUCUCUCCUGUGUUAUUUCUAAAGUGUUAUCAUCCUAAUCCUUCAGAAUACUUUCUUGACUUCUUUCUGCUUGAUGAUUAAGGAAUGGUCUCAAUUCUCCAUAGCCACAUCAGACCAAAAUUCCAUUUCUUUGCCUAUGUGAAGGGUUUAUUAUUAAUUACCCUAUUAAUUUAUGUCCAAACCAGAUGUGAUUUCCUUCUUGGAGCAAUAGUUCGUGAAGAGGUUGGUUAACAGCAGUUCUGUGCCCAGGUAAAUGAGAGGCAACUGAUAAGAGGAACUCGUUGUGUAUAAAAUCUUAGGAUUCUAGAUUUAGGACCUUUAAGGCAGUAUUUGAAUUAGUGCUCUGGAAUGUCUAUGAAGAAAGUUUGGGUCUCUUCAGCCAGAAUUCAGACCAUUUCAACAUUGCAUUCCAUGUAUCAUACACAUAUCUCCUUUUAUUAUUAUUUUUUCUGCUCUCAAAGCAGAUUUCUCUCAUUGUAAAAUUAGUAGAUUCUUAAUUCAGAAGAUUGGAGAAUAUUAAAAAAAGCUUAAAGUAAAGCACUUUGAACACUUUAUUCCAAAUCACUUCACCUCAUUUGUGAAUAAGUGCAUGGAUAUAGGCUUAUAGGACUUUUUCAUUCAAAACAGGGUUAUAUAACAAUUGUUUUGAAAUCUACUUGUUUCUUCUAACAAAAUAUAGUGAACAAAUUUUCAUGUCACUAAAUUAUGAACUGUGUCAUAAUCUUUUAAUGGCUGCACUGUUCUGUUUGUAUAUGUAAGUUCUUUCCAGCUUUUUCCCAUUAUAUGCAAUGUUUUACUGCAUAUGCCUUUUCUGUGCACAUGUGAAUUGUAUAUUUUGGAUAGUCUUAGAUAUUUUGCUGAGAAUGAGGUUUUCAUAGUUAAAACCUGUUUACACAUCUAUAUCAAUUGCCCUGAUUAAGUUUGCACCAAUAUUCAACAUACUAUGAGAAUGUCUAUUCGCUACUAUAUGGUAUCAUUAGUCUUUUAUUAUUAUUUUAUUUUAUUAUUAUUAUUAUUUGAGACAGAGUCUCACUCUUGUUGCCAGGCUAGAGUGCAGUGGCAUGAUCUCGGCUUACUGCAACCCCCGCCUCCAAGGUUCCAGCAAUUCCCCCACCUCAGCCUCCCAAGUAGCUGGGACUACAAGGCGCAUGUCACCACGCAUGGCUAAUUUUUGGUUUUUAGUAGAGACGGGGUUUCACCAUGUUGGCCAGGAUGGUCUCCAUCUCCUGACCUUGUGAUCCGUCUGCCUUGGCCUCCCAAAGUGCUGGGAUUACAGGCGUGAGCCAUUGCACCUGGCCAUCAUUAGUCUUUUAAAUCCACCAAUCCAGUAGAAAUUAUAUUUAUUUAAAUGAAUUACCCAUGCACAGGUUUCAUUCAGUGUAAUAAAAUAUGGGCUUCAGAAACAAAAACCAGAACUGAAAGAAAAUUGGUUUUGUAGGUAGAAAAAUGUGAUUUAAAAAUGCAGAUAUGCCAUUUAUUUUGAGGGUGUAUAGCUCACCCCUGUAAUCCCAGCACUUUCGGAGGCUGAGACGGGUGGAACACUUGAGCCCAGGAGUUUGAGACCAGCCUGGGCAAUAUGGUGAAACCCCGUAUCUACUAAAAAUACAAAAAAUUAGCUGGGUGUGGUGGUGCACCUGUAGUCCUAGCUACUUGGGAGGCUGAGAUGGGAGGAUCACCUGAGCCCAAGGAUAUUGAGGCUGUAGUGAGCCGUGAUUGUGCCAAUGCACUCCAACCUGAGCGUUGGAGUGAGACCAUGCCUCAAAAAAACAAAAACAAAAAACUCUUAAAAUCGAGGGAAAGACCCAAAAACCCGAUAGAAAAAGUGAGUAAAAGAAAUGAACACAUGAAAUCACACACACACAGACACACACACACACAAAGAGAGAGAGAGGAAGCACAAAUUUUAAAAUUAUAGCGUGCUGGCUUUUUAAAAAAAUAAACCCAG